CAACAUGAAAUAUUCAGAACAGCAGACGAUCUAACUUCGUUGAAAUGUCAAGUCACUAUUGGUAGACAAAAAGUUUCUUUAGCUAUCUUUCAACAAUCUGUAAAAUAACUUAGAUAGUGUUCUAAAGCACUCUUCCCUUCUACGUUUCAAUUCACCGUGUCUGCGCAUUCUCUCUAAAUUCAGUUUGUCACCCUACUUGAUAGCUUGUGUUUAUUGACUAAGCUGGAAAAUUGUGCAUACGACGAUGACCAAGGGACUGAUAAUUCAUACUGGUAAUAUUAUACAGCUGCCAGAUUUGAAAAGAAAACCAGGCCACACACCUACUGAUGAGGUUCAAAAUGUAUUUUUGUUUUUGGGGUUCAUUUCUUAAUUUUAAAAAAUAGCUCUAUGAUGCCUUGAAAGUUCAGCUGUAUAAAACAUUGGCUAAUGGGGAUGCUGAGAUACUUUCUCCAUUGGAAUUGUCAUCUCUUCUAGUCCCAGAGGAAUGCAAAAAAAAAAAAAAAAUACUAUAAAUUAUCUCUUUCAUCUCCUCAAUCAGAAUUUAACAAAUUGUCCUUGACAGCAGGUAUAUGAAAUGCUAAUGCUUUUAAUAUUUUUAGGUUGAUUAUGAGAAGCCCUCUUCCGUCAUCCGAUCCAUUGACGACAUUUCGAUUCGUCAAUAUGGUUUACCAUGGAGAAGGCCGGAUUGUCUUUCACAACACUGUGUUCUGUAGAUUUACGAUAUUAAAACGAUACUAAGAACAUAGGUUUGUUAAUUAUUCUAUUAUACCUCAACUUUUUAUUACUGCAGACUGGUGCCACCAAGCGGAUUAGCUCCAGUCAGGCUUCAGCAAUCAGCAUACUCCCACAAAUUUAGCAUGUCGAUGUUUCUCCCAUCAUUCUCCUUCAUGAUAGAACUGAUACUUUGAAGAGUAUGGAUCUCUGCAAAAGAAGUUAAUUUAGUUAAAUAUGAUUUGAUACUGGAUAAUUGUAGAUAUGAACGAAUUUUUGUUGUUCAAACCAAAAACAUCAGUGGAAGCACAGGCCUGUGGUAGCAGCAAUGGCAAAAAAAAUGUUUUUUCGUAACUCAGUGUUGUGUGAAAAUUGGGAACAGUGGAUUUUCCAGGAGAACAUUUAUAAUUCAAACUAUUUUUGUUAGUGGCAAGCAUGUGAAAAUAUCUAUAUUUAAUAGUGAAAAGGAAGCAUUAAUAAAUGCUUGGACGAAUGAGAAUUUAUUUGUUAACCAACAUUGCUGCCAAAGGAAUUUUGUCACAUAAAGUAGGUCAGCACAAUCAGCAGAACUUUUUCCACUGCCUACUUUUUCACACUGUAGGGCUGAGAAUCCAAAUUGGACAUUGAUUUGAAUUAAGUACGACUUUUUGUACAAAAUUAAAACGAAAACAAAGUGUCGAUUUUUUGUACAAAAAAAGUCGGGCUUAAUAACUGAAAUAUAUUUCGAUAGAUGGCAGUGCACAUGUAGAUAGCAGUGCAUCUAAGAUUUUUUGGUCCCGAUCUAGUGGAAUUUACAUUCGUCUGAAGUGUGCCAUCGCCAUUGUGAACGAAGCAUGGGUCACUACAAAUCAUCUUCUGAUACGUUGUCCGGUUUUUAAAAAUCUUUUAUUACUUUAAUAUGUCUUUUUGUAAUUCCUUGGGCAUUAACACUCUCUAAUCAACAAAGAAACUGCUUUUCUCAUGUUACUUUUACCAAUUUUUUUAUACUCGUACAUUUAGUUGAUUAUAGAAAACAUCUUGACAUUCACACGAAUGCCUUUGUCUUAUCUGAUCGUGUUAACAUGCUGAUUCGUUCUUGCCACUGGCCGAAGCCAUUUUGUCAAAUUUUGCAUCUUUCCAAAAUUUAAUCACACACAAGCAUUCUGGCAUGUGUCAGGCAACGGGUUACAGGAAUGGCAUGGUCCCCUUUUGGUGUUGAGCCUGGCCUACACCCUCGGUUAUUGAAAAUGGUGUUGGAACAAGUAAUUACAUGGAGCUGGAGCGUCAAUUUGGGACUUGAUUUGUCAUCUGUUGGUUGACGUAGGAAAACACAGAUUGAACCCACCAUUUUAUUCCCACACUUAUCAUUGGAAUUCUGGGAUGGUAGCUGUUGUUGCAGGACACUCCUUGGUUCAUUAGUGAGGUUCCAGAAAGCAGCAUUCCAAGAGCAAGAAUACAAUUUGCCGGCUGUCAACACAAUAUAGAUUGUUUAACUUUGUUUUCUUGCCUUGGUGGUGAAAUUGAAUUAUAUUGAGAUUUAAAACA